AUGGGUCCAGCAAAAACCCCAAACUUAAUUCUCAUUGGCUGGAUUUGGUCACAUGGGCAUAUCCCUGAUCACAUGACUAAGGCCAGGAGACUGAGACAUUCUGAUUGGCUGGGCCUGGGGCACACACUCAGUCCUGCCCCAGCAAAUGGGGUCAUCACCAGGAGAACCAUAGGGAUUGAGAAUAGUCGUUUCUCAAGGAGCUCUCAUAAUCCUGGAGGAAAUCUGCCUCAUGCUGGAGUGGGCAGGAAGGGAAGAGCGCAGGAAAGGAAGAGCACAGGAAGGAGGGAGGCAGACGCUGCUGGGAGUUCCUGCUUCUCCAGUCUUGAGACUAAGACCCAGUUUCAGGCCUAUCAAUUAGUGUCAAGGGGAAAGGUAAAUCCUGCUCCAUCCAGGGCCAGAGGUAACCCCCCACCCCUUGCUCCACACCCCAGGGACAGGUACCAUGGGAAAGGAGGGAGGCAGGACCUCCCGCCCCUCUCAGGCUUCCUCAGAAGCCUUUGCCACCUAGGGACCCCUCCCUGCAUCCCCCUCCUAUGGUCUCCCAUUUGGGACCUUGGAAAGAAGAGGCUGUUGGAAUGCUUUAGGAGACAUGGCAUGUGUCCCAGCCCGAGCCAUCUUGAUAGCAAAACUGACACCAUAAUCCCAAUGCCUAAUUGCACACCUUCUCCCUCUCACCUUCCCAGCACAGUGAGGUUGCUGAGAAGAGAACAUGAACACAGAGGCUAAGAGUGAAUGGUUUUUGUUGCUGUUUUGGUUUUAUUUUGUUUUGAGAUGGGAGUCUUGCUUUGUUGCCCAGACUGAUCUUGAAUUCCUGGGCUUGAGUGAUCCUCCUGCCUCAGACACCUGAGUAGCUGAGAUUAAAAGUGUGCGCUGCUAUCACUGGCUGAGUGGAUGGUUUGGAUUCAAACUCUGUUGACAAAUACUCUCGGUUGCCUAUGUAAUAUAUCUCCCACUGCUUCACUCAGGCUACACCCCCUGCCACAUACAUCAUCACCACCAUCAUCAAAGAUCACUUCCUUGCAGUGACAGUAAACCCAGCUCCAAGCAAUGGACUAUGAUUGGUGUAAGCCAAGGAUCAGCAAACUAUGGCUUGAGUGCCAAGUCUGAAUGCCCCCUGUUCUUAUAUGGCACAUGAGCUAAAACGAUUUUUAACAUUUUUAUCAAAUGGUUGAAAAAAU
rnacentral:lncRNA from 13 species